UUUAUGCUUGAACAAAUACUUAUAUAUAUUAAAACAAACUGAUACAUUUUCUGUCUGAGCAUUUUAAAGACUUGUCGUCCAUGUUGGCUUAAAAGUUGAGAGUUAAAAGUAAAUUCUUGAGCUUGGAAAGAAGGAAGAGGCAGCGGGAAAUACUGAGACAUGUUUUGAUAAACUCCUGAGUAGAAAAGCCGCCUGCUGGACAGGCUGACGAACUGCAGGCGUGUGGUUAAACAGGAUUUCCCAACCAUUUGAGCAACCUGGUGAUCCUGACACCUGAAGAACAUGAAAAAGACCUGGAUGUCCGAGACACAAAG